AUUGAACGCUGGCGGCAUGCCUUACACAUGCAAGUCGAACGGCAGCACGGGAGCAAUCCUGGUGGCGAGUGGCGAACGGGUGAGUAAUAUAUCGGAACGUGCACAGUAGUGGGGGAUAACUGCUCGAAAGAGCAGCUAAUACCGCAUACGACCUGAGGGUGAAAGGGGGGGAUCGCAAGACCUCUCGCAAUUGGCGCUGCCGAUAUCAGAUUAGCUAGUUGGUGGGGUAAAGGCCUACCAAGGCAACGAUCUGUAGUUGGUCUGAGAGGACGACCAGCACACUGGGACUGAGACACGGCCCAGACUCCUACGGGAGGCAGCAGUGGGGAAUUUUGGACAAUGGGCGCAAGCCUGAUCCAGCAAUGCCGCGUGCAGGAAGAAGGCCUUCGGGUUGUAAACUGCUUUUGUCAGGGAAGAAAUCCUCUAGGUUAAUACCCUUGGGGGGAUGACGGUACCUGAAGAAUAAGCACCGGCUAACUACGUGCCAGCAGCCGCCGUAAGAC
rnacentral:rRNA from 1 species